GGCGGCAGGCCUAACACAUGCAAGUCGAGCGGAAACGAUGGAAGCUUGCUUCCAGGCGUCGAGCGGCGGACGGGUGAGUAAUGCAUGGGAAUCUGCCCGAUAGUGGGGGAUAACCUGGGGAAACCCAGGCUAAUACCGCAUACGUCCUACGGGAGAAAGCAGGGGAUCUUCGGACCUUGCGCUAUCGGAUGAGCCCAUGUCGGAUUAGCUUGUUGGUGAGGUAAUGGCUCACCAAGGCGACGAUCCGUAGCUGGUCUGAGAGGAUGAUCAGCCACAUCGGGACUGAGACACGGCCCGAACUCCUACGGGAGGCAGCAGUGGGGAAUAUUGGACAAUGGGCGAAAGCCUGAUCCAGCCAUGCCGCGUGUGUGAAGAAGGCCCUCGGGUUGUAAAGCACUUUCAGUGGGGAAGAAAGCCUUGGGAUUAAUACUCCCGAGGAAGGACAUCACCCACAGAAGAAGCC
rnacentral:rRNA from 1 species